GUUUCUGGGUGUUGCCAGAAGAGAUUAACAUUUGAGUCAGUGGACUGGGAGAGGAAGAUCUACCCUCAGGAAGACCCACCCACCAUGUAGGUGGGCACCAUCCAAUCAGCUGCCAGUGUGGCUAGAAAAAGCAGGCAGAAGAAGGUGGAAGAAGCUGACUUGCUGAGGCUUCUGGCCUUCAUCUUUCUCCCAUGCUGAAUAUUUCCUGCCCUUGAACAUCAGACUCCAAGUUCUAUGGUUUUUGAUCUCUUAGACUUACACCAGCGGUUUGCCAGGGACUCUCAGGCCUUCAGCCACAGAGCAAAGUCUGCACUGUCAGCUUCCCUACUUUUGAAGUUUUGGGACGUGGAAUGAACUACUACGGGCUUCCUUGUCCUCAACUUACAGACGGCCUGUCAUGGGAUUUCACUGUAUGAUCGUGUGUUUAUGGAAAUUCCAGAUAUUACAAUUCAUUAAAUAUGUCUGGAAAUCAGAGGAGAGGCCAGCAUGGGAGUUCAAAGGAAGUAAAUGAAGUCAUCUAGAGGCAGAAGAUAGAGGAGAAAAAUGGCUGAGGAUGAAUUUUUAAGGCAAUCCAGGAUGAUUUCCUCAUCUCAAGAUCCUUCAGCUAAUUAUAAUGACAAAGACUCUUUUUCUAAAUAAGGUAAUAUUCAUGGGUUCUUGGAUUAAGGCGUGAACAUAUCUUUUGGAGGGCUACCAGUCAGC
rnacentral:lncRNA from 1 species